rnacentral:lncRNA from 1 species
AUCUUAAAAAAAAAAGCAUUUGACUUGUUUUUCUUUGUUCCAGAAGGCAGAACAAGGGAAAAAAGAGCUGCAAAAGGACAAAUUUAGAAUUGAUGAAAAGGAAAAUUUCUUAACAAUUAGAGCUUCAUAAAAGUGAAAUAAACUCCUCUAACUUCCAAAGAAUAAGUAGAUAGCACCCUCUGAGAGGAAGUCAUCUACUAAGAUUCUAUGGAAUUGAGUCAAGAAAAGAUCAUAUCUGGUGACCACAUGAAGUUUGACUACUCUGAGAAAAGGGCAGAGAAAAGAAGAAGGAUUUGCUAAUUGGAGAUGACACUAGAUCCAAUGAGGCAUCAGACACUAGAGAUUUAUCUGGAGCAAAGCGAUCUAUUACAACUGAUUCACCAGAAGCAGGCUCAAGAUACUCAUAUCCCUGUUCACCAAGUGUCCAUGAUCUCCGAUUCUGAGGGAAGGUCAGACUUUGGAAGGCAUCUCUCUCUGAUAGAAUAUUUCAAUGGCCUGGUCCACAUAAACUUGCAUAUUCUUCCUGGAAAGACUCAAUGA